UACGUAGGCAGCGAGCGUUGUUCGGAGUUACUGGGCGUAAAGCGUGCGUAGGCGGUUGUCUAAGUUUGGGGUGAAAUCUCCUGGCUUAACUGGGAGGGUGCGCCGAAAACUGGGUGACUGGAGUGUCGGAGAGGUAAGCGGAAUUCCUGGUGUAGCGGUGAAAUGCGUAGAGAUUAGGAGGAACACCUGUGGUGUAGACAGCUUACUGGACGAUAACUGACGCUGAGGCACGAAAGCGUGGGUAGCAAACAGG
rnacentral:rRNA from 1 species